CUUUCUCGAAGGCUUUGCAUUUGAACUCCUAUGACUGGUUGCGGACUUGAAGGGAACAACUUUGUGGCCUUCCUGACAUCCAGGAAAACAUUUGCUUCAAGAAGUGGCUUCAACAGACAGAAAUGCAGGCCAGAUUGGGAAAGGCAGGACGCUACACAACGGGAAGAAAAAAAACACUUUCUUUGUUGCCUUUUUCUUAUUGUACAUAGUGUUACUGUUUUUGUCACCAUUUAAAUAUUGAAUUCUAUUUAUUACUUUUAUUUUAAAUCAAAUGCACCUGUUUUAGAUACUGUAUUUAUUGUUGAUGUAUAGGUUGAUUUGCAGGUUGGUUGU